rnacentral:rRNA from 1 species
AGUGAACGCUGGCGGUAGGCCUAACACAUGCAAGUCGAACGGCAGCACAGGAGAGCUUGCUCUCUGGGUGGCGAGUGGCGGACGGGUGAGGAAUACAUCGGAAUCUACUCUGCCGUGGGGGAUAACGUAGGGAAACUCACGCUAAUACCGCAUACGACCUACGGGUGAAAGCAGGGGACCUUCGGGCCUUGCGCGAUUGAAUGAGCCGAUGUCGGAUUAGCUAGUUGGCGGGGUAAAGGCCCACCAAGGCGACGAUCCGUAGCUGGUCUGAGAGGAUGAUCAGCCACACUGGAACUGAGACACGGUCCAGACUCCUACGGGAGGCAGCAGUGGGGAAUAUUGGACAAUGGGCGCAAGCCUGAUCCAGCCAUACCGCGUGGGUGAAGAAGGCCUUCGGGUUGUAAAGCCCUUUUGUUGGGAAAGAAAUCCAGCUGGCUAAUACCCGGUUGGGAUGACGGUACCCAAAGAAUAAGCACCGGCUAACUUCGUGCCAGCAGCCGCGGUAA